CUCUUCAAGGAGUUCCUAUGCCACUGAAACUCUACCAAAGUCCUCAUCCCAUACCAAGAGCUCAGAGCGCUCAGGGAGUCGGGAGUGGAAUAGACCCGCAGAACAAGCAGCUCCUGAACCAAUACCAGAAUCCCAGAGGUCCUCGCCUGUAGAGACUUCAAAGUCAUACAGAAACUCCUCUUCAAGGAGUUCCUAUGCCACUGAAACUGUACCAAAGCCCUUGUCCCAGACCAAGAGCUCAGAACGCCCAGGUAGUCAGGAGUGGCAUAGACCGGCAGAAGAAGCAGCUCCAAAACCAAUUCCAGAAUCCAAGAGGUCCUCACCCGUAGAGACUUCAAAUUCAUAUGGAAACCCCUCUUCACGAAGUUCCUAUGCCACAGAAACUGUACCAAAGCCCUUGUCCCAGACCAAGAGCUCAGAACGCCCAGGAAGUCAGGAGUGGCAUAUACCAGCAGAGGAAGCAACUCCUAAACCAAUUCCAGAUUCCAAGAGGUCCUCUCCUGUAGAGACUUCAAAGUCAUAUCGAAACCCCUCUUCAAGGAGUUCCUAUGCCACUGAAACUCUACCAAAGCCAUCAUCCCAAACCAAGGGCUCAGAACGCCCAGGAAGUCAGGAGUGGCAUAGACCAGCAGAAGAAGCAGCUCCUAAA
rnacentral:lncRNA from 1 species